GACGAACGCUGGCGGCGUGCUUAACACAUGCAAGUCGAACGGAAAGGCGCUGCUUUUGUGGGGUGCUCGAGUGGCGAACGGGUGAGUAACACGUGAGUAACCUGCCCUUGACUUUGGGAUAACUUCAGGAAACUGGUGCUAAUACCGGAUAGGAGCUCCUGCUGCAUGGCGGGGGUUGGAAAGUUUCGGCGGUUGGGGAUGGGCUCGCGGCUUAUCAGCUUGUUGGUGGGGUAGUGGGUUACCAAGGCUUUGGCGGGUAGCCGGCCCGGGAGGGUGAACGGCCACAUUGGGACUGGGAUACGGGCCAGAAUCCUACGGGAGGCAGGAGUGGGGAAUAUUGCACAAUGGGAGGAAGCCUGAUGCAGCAACGCCGCGUGCGGGAUGACGGCCUUCGGGUUGUAAACCGCUUUCGCCUGUGACGAAGCGUGAGUGACGGUAAUGGGUAAAGAAGCACCGGCUAACUACGUG
rnacentral:rRNA from 1 species